rnacentral:rRNA from 1 species
AUUGAACGCUGGCGGCAGGCCUAACACAUGCAAGUCGAGCGAGUGGCGGACGGGUGAGUAAUGUAUGGGAAUCUGCCCGAUGGAGGGGGAUAACUACUGGAAACGGUGGCUAAUACCGCAUACCAUCGGAUGUACCCAUAUGGGAUUAGCUAGUAGGUGGGGUAAAGGCUCACCUAGGCGACGAUCCCUAGCUGGUCUGAGAGGAUGAUGAGCCACACUGGGACUGAGACACGGCCCAGACUCCUACGGGAGGCAGCAGUGGGGAAUAGUGCACAAUGGGCGCAAGCCUGAUGCAGCCAUGCCGCGUGUAUGAAGAAGGCCUUAGGGUUGUAAAGUACUUUCAGCGGGGAGGCGUUACCCACAGAAGAAGCACCGGCUAACUCCGUGCCAGCCGCCGCGGUAAUAC